AACGUAGGAGACAAACGUUAUCCGGAGUUACUGGGCGUAAAGGGCGUGUAGGUGGUUUUGUAAGUCUGGCGUGAAAUUUUUCGGCUUAACCGGGAAAGGUCGUCGGAUACUGCAAGGCUAGAGGACGGUAGAGGCGUGUGGAAUUCCGGGUGUAGUGGUGAAAUGCGUAGAGAUCGGAGGAACACCAGUGGCGAAGGCGCACGCUGGGCCGUACCUGACACUGAUGCGCGACAGCAUGGGGAGCAAACAGG
rnacentral:rRNA from 1 species